CUUAGUAACGGCGAAGUGAAGCGGGAUGAGCUCAAAUUUAAAUCUGGCUGGUUUACUAGUCCGAAUUGUAGUUAUAGAAGCGUUUCGGUGGCAGCCUGGGUAUAAAUCCUUUGGAAUAGGGUAUCAUAGAGGGUGAGAAUCCCGUCUUUGACUCAGUGCAUGCUACUAUGUGAUACGUUUUCAAAGAGUCGAGUUGUUUGGGAAUGCAGCUCAAAAUGGGUGGUAAAUUUCAUCUAAAGCUAAAUAUUGGCGAGAGACCGAUAGCGAACAAGUACCGUGAGGGAAAGAUGAAAAGAACUUUGAAAAGAGAGUUAAACAGUGCGUGAAAUUGUUGAAAGGGAAACGCUUGACACCAGUCAUGCGAGUGGAAAAUCAGUCUUUUGCAAUGGGGAGUUGUGGGCGUUCAGACCGCAAGGCUGGCGUUUGCUUCAUCUUUGUUGUAAGUGAUGCACUUUUUCAUUUGCAGGUCAACAUCAGUUUGCUUUGCUGGACAAAACCCCAAGGGAAGGUGGCAGCUUAGGCUGUGUUAUAGCCCUGGGGCGAUACAGUGGAGUGGACUGAGGUUUUCGCAGUGUGUGCUCUCUGGGCAAGGCUGACUGGGUGCUAUGGGAUCGUUCGGCGUACAAUGCAUGCAUUUUGCGUCGUGUCUUUUUCAUACUCGCUCAACUCGGCUCUUCCACACUUAGGAUGUUGACUUAAUGGUUUUAAUCGACCCGUCUUGAAACACGGACCAAGGAGUCUAACAUAUAUGCAAGUGUUUGGGUGGCAAACCCAUGCGCGUAAUGAAAGUGAACGUAGGUGCCAUCCGCAAGGUGCAGCAUCGACCGAUCUUGAUAUUUUUGGAUAGAUUUGAGUAAGAGCAUAUAUGCUGGGACCCGAAAGAUGGUGAACUAUGCCUGAAUAGGGUGAAGCCAGAGGAAACUCUGGUGGAGGCUCGUAGCGAUUCUGACGUGCAAAUCGAUCGUCAAAUUUGGGUAUAGGGGCGAAAGACUAAUCGAACCCCUCUGUGCCGA
rnacentral:rRNA from 1 species